rnacentral:rRNA from 1 species
AACGAACGCUGGCGGCAUGCCUAACACAUGCAAGUCGAACGAGACCUUCGGGUCUAGUGGCGCACGGGUGCGUAACGCGUGGGAAUAUGCCCUUAGGUACGGAAUAACACAGAGAAAUUUGUGCUAAUACCGUAUGAUGUCUUCGGACCAAAGAUUUAUCGCCUAGGGAUUAGCCCGCGUAGGAUUAGCUUGUUGGUGAGGUAAAGGCUCACCAAGGCGACGAUCCUUAGCUGGUCUGAGAGGAUGAUCAGCCACACUGGGACUGAGACACGGCCCAGACUCCUACGGGAGGCAGCAGUGGGGAAUAUUGGACAAUGGGCGAAAGCCUGAUCCAGCAAUGCCGCGUGAGUGAUGAAGGCCUUAGGGUUGUAAAGCUCUUUUACCCGAGAUGAUAAUGACAGUAUCGGGAGAAUAAGCUCCGGCUAACUCCGUGCCAGCAGCCGCGGUAA